GACGAACGCUGGCGGCGCGCUUAACACAUGCAAGUCGAACGGAAAGGCCUGCUUUCCCUUGUGGAUUGCGGGUACUCGAGUGGCGAACGGGUGAGUAACACGUGAGUGAUCUGCCCCCAACUUGGGUAUAAGCCUGGGAAACUGGGUCUAAUUCCCGAUAGGACUGCAGGGUGGUGCCUGUGGUGGAAAACGAUUUUCUAGUGGUUGGGGAUGAGCUCGCGGCCUAUCAGCUUGUUGGUGGGGUAAUGGCCUACCAAGGCGGCGACGGGUAGCCGGCCUGGGAGGGUGGACGGCCACAGUGGGACUGAGAUACGGCGCAGACGCCUACGGGAGGCAGCAGUGGGGAGUAUUGCACAAUGGGCGGAAGCCUGAUGCAGCGACGCCGCGUGGGGGAUGACGGCCUUCGGGUUGUAAACUCCUUUCGACCGCGAGGAAGCCACCUGGUUGGAAGGGUGGUGACGGUAGUGGUAGAAGAAGCACCGGCUAACUACGUG
rnacentral:rRNA from 1 species